AGCUUUUAGUGUCCUCUGCUCUCAAUAACUUCUGGCAUGGGAGGCAAAAUACGUAACAGGCAGAGUGUCAUCUGAAAAUAAAGGUUUCUCUUACUGCUGAGCAGAAUGGUGAAGAUGUGUUUUCACUGAUCCCCUGAACACAAAGAAGAACUAGUUUUUGGCUAGAAAAUCUAUUAAGCUUUUUGAAGCUCUGGCGUCAAAAAGUUAUGAAGUACGUUUCAGAGUCUAAAAGGUGCACGUAAAAAGAGGCGAUAUAUGCGUACGCACACUUGUGACUGCGCUGCCCUGAUGAAGCUGCGGGUGCGA